AACGAAACAAACCCUCCUCGUGGGCUCCGGCUCGCAGGGAGGGCCAGUCUCAAACCCUUUGUCGUCCGACUAUGUUGCCUCGGGGGAGACCCUGCCUUCGGGCGGGUGGCACCCCGGUGGACCAAACCAAACUCUUGCGUAACUUGUCGUCUGAGUCGAUUUAUUAAAUUAAUCA
rnacentral:misc_RNA from 1 species